rnacentral:rRNA from 1 species
AAUGAACGCUGGCGUCAGGCCUAACACAUGCAAGUCGAACGGGUCCUUCGGGACUAGUGGCGGACGGGUGAGUAACGCGUGGGAACGUGCCCUUUGCUACGGAAUAGCCCCGGGAAACUGGGAGUAAUACCGUAUAAGCCCUACGGGGGAAAGAUUUAUCGGCAAAGGAUCGGCCCGCGUUGGAUUAGGUAGUUGGUGGGGUAAUGGCCUACCAAGCCGACGAUCCAUAGCUGGUUUGAGAGGAUGAUCAGCCACACUGGGACUGAGACACGGCCCAGACUCCUACGGGAGGCAGCAGUGGGGAAUCUUAGACAAUGGGGGAAACCCUGAUCUAGCCAUGCCGCGUGAUGGAUGAAGGCCUUAGGGUUGUAAAGAUCUUUCAGGUGGGAAGAUAAUGACUGUACCACCAGAAGAAGCCCCGGCUAACUCCGUGCCAGCCGCCGCCGUAA